rnacentral:rRNA from 1 species
CGUGUAGGCGGCUCAUCAAGUCUGGUGUGAAAACGCAAGGCUUAACCUUGCAUAGGCGCUGGAAACUGGUGGGCUUGAGUUCCUGAGGGGAAGCUGGAAUUCCAGGUGUAGGGGUGAAAUCUGUAGAUAUCUGGAAGAACACCGGUGGCGAAGGCGAGCUUCUAUCAGAGGACUGACGCUGAGGCGCGAAAGCGUGGGGAGCAAACAGGAUUAGAUACCCUGGUAGUCCACGCUGUAAACGAUGUGCACUAGGCGUGGGGCACGUACGUGCUCUGUGCCGUAGUUAACGUGAUAAGUGCACCGCCUGGGGAGUAUGCUCGCAAGGGUGAA